UACGUAGGGGGCAAGCGUUGUCCGGAUUUAUUGGGCGUAAAGAGCGUGUAGGCGGCCAGGUAGGUCUGCUGUGAAAACUCGAGGCUUAACCUCGAGAUGUCGGCGGAAACCAUCUGGCUAGAGUCCGGAAGAGGAGAGUGGAAUUCCUGGUGUAGCGGUGAAAUGCGCAGAUAUCAGGAAGAACACCCGUGGCGAAGGCGGCUCCCUGGGACGGUACUGACGCUGGAGACGCGAAAGCGUGGGGAGCGAACAGG
rnacentral:rRNA from 1 species